rnacentral:lncRNA from 12 species
CACAGUUGGCCUGUUGCGCUGUGCUGAAGCAGCUGGUGACUGAGGAGGACUUUGGAUUGCUGAAAGAAAUACAGGACCUGUCACUGCCAUUUCACCUGUGAGGAUUCUCACCUAUUCAGCGGAACUGGGGCUUGUUCAUACACCAUCUCAUCAGUCAUGUGACCACAUAGUGUCCAGAUCCCUCUUUCUGCAGAGGGAAUGUUUCUCUUACUGUACUGUUUGAUGCAGACAACCUGUCGCUGUUCACGUGAAGAUGUGACCAUGCACAUGUAUGGGUGUGUUUUCUUGACUACUCAAAGGAGACAAGUUGGACAAAGUGAGAGAAAGGUCACACCAGCCCGGUCUUGAUCUCAUGAUGGAUGAGACACCGUGAAAAAAAAAAAAAAAAAAAAAACUGGACUGGGAAAUCUCAGGGAAACGUAGACUGGAUUUUUGAGGCCCUUUGUGUAGAAUUGUUUGACUGAAACCAGCAGAAAGAACUAAUGUAACAUGUAGAUUUUAGAUUUAGUUUAUAGUUGUUUUUCUGUUGGAAUUUGAGGACCUGGUCACACUCACCUGAGGGGUGGGGCUUGAGUUUCUUCCCAAGAGAGCACUUGGGAAUCAUCUUUGUCAGGAAGAUGGAAGAUACUAUCUGAGACCAGAAAUAAGGCCUGAGGAAAUGAACCUUACUUAGUCUGAAGAAAGAGAAGCUCUUUGGUCUUUUUGGGAUACCUGCAGAUGGGAACUGAACGCCCUAGAGAACUCAGAGCAUUCCAGGAGCUAUGUUUCAUGGGGAAUUUGAAGAAUGAUCCUAGAACACACUGAGGAAAGGGGUAAAGGAAGGACCAGCACUCCUCUCCCCUGACUGAGGCCAUGGUGGAGGUCAGCAAUGUCACCUGGAAAGACCAGUUACCCUGCACCGGCUGCUGGUCACCUGUCCGUUCCAGACGUGCCCAGAGAUGCUCCUGGUACCUUGCACUGUUUCAGAACUCCAAAGAGAGGGUCAGCACCAGAUUCACAGUCUUACAGUUCAUGACUUCCAAUAAAUGGCAUCGUCCCCAGAGCGGGUUAUCCACUUCUCAGCUUUUAGCAGAAGGAAAGGUCAACAGACACCUGGACGCGGAACGUGCCCAUGGCCUUGCCAUGCGUGGACCCCGUGCCGGCUCUGCACGUUAGCAUUAGCCUCCUAGCACCUGGCCUGGGGACUUACAACGUGCCCUCCCCCUCCCCCCAAAUCACUCCUAUUUACUCUGUUAUGUUCGGGUUUGUUCUGCACCGAGCAUUUACGCUUCAGUUGUGUACGUGUCCAGAAAUAACCGAGGCUCUGGGGCAUGUCCAUCAUUUCUAUUUCACUGAUUUCCUUUGAACAAGACAAACCUUUGCAUGUCGUUCUUGAUUCUAGCCCAUAACGUCCCAGUGUUUUCUGUGACAUUGGAUUUGGUUCCAGUGUUAAAAACUCCAGGUUGACUGGACUUAUUCCUUCAUAAUCUGUAUAGAAUCUGAGCUCGUAAAUAUAGUUCUCGGACAUCUCCCUGUUGUUUUCUUCAGUAAAUUCCUGAACACCUCCCUCCCCACCGUGCAUCCUGUGCCAUCCUGACGGGCUUCCUAAUGUCUAGCUAACAGGACUUUCUCCUCCUCCUGCUCAAAUUUCACUGGCAGGUCCUUCUUCAUCAGACCGGUACCUUGCUGCCUUUUUACUUUAUUCUUCCCUCUUCUUGGUGUUCUGGUGCGUGCCCAGCCUGUUGUCAUUCUGCUCUUGUGAGCUGCAGUCGAGAAAGCUCAGCCGUUGACAGCGUCUCGGGGGCCUAGCUGACGCCUUUCCAGGUUUUCUCUUCUCUUUCAAGACAAGGGUCACUACCAUAGAAGGACAAGUGAAAAUGGCAUCUAUGUUCAGGGGUUCUGGAGAUUUCUGAUCCUGAUUUUUGCAGAAAAGGGAGAGAUUUGGGGAAGGAGAAGUACAAGGCAGGCCGUGCUGGUGGAGCCCACCAGCAGAGAGAAGAUGGGGCCGUGGAGUCUCUAGGGCUCUACCUCACAUCCCAGAGCCUGCGAAGGAAAAGUGAUAACGAAAAGAAUCCACACUUACUAAAGACCCACCACAAGCCAAACACAGCUUUAAAUACUUUCAUUCAUUAACGUGUUUAGUGCAAAUCAUGGGAGACAGUGCAGUUUUCUGUUUAACCAUUGCAGGCCCUGCAUGCACCAUCUCCCAUCCUGUUAGACCAGUAACGGGAGUCCUAAAACCUACCUGCUGUUAGUCCUCUCCGUUGCUCCGUAUGCAGCGAGGGCGAGUUCUCACAGAGGAAUCCAGGUUCACCCCCUGAGAGGGAUAAGCCAAGCUGAUUCUCAGAACCCCCGGGAUACAGAGUUGAAUAUCAUUCAUCUUUCUUCUCCAUGUUGUGUUCUUCUAAUCACCAAAAUAUUGAAUACUUUUCAUCCCUCCUACGUCCUUCAAUGGUUUUUUUUCUUUCUGGUGUCCUGCCUGGCUAAAACUUCCUGCCUGUCCAGAAAGGUCGCUUCCACGCAGCCAGGUUUCAGAGCAGCUCUCUUCCUGGUGUUUGAUCUUACAUUCGAGCAGGGGAUGGACAUGCCUCAAUAGCACAAGAACGUCCAGACCCUGAACCCACAGAGAUGUAGAGCCAACACAAUUUCUCAUGCCCCAGAAUAUCACUUUUCCCAUUGACCCCCUGGGAUAAGCUAUAUAGAUGUUAAGAUGUAGCAAGAAGGAAGGAAGGAAAGAAAGAGAAGAGGGAGGGAGGGAGGGUGGGAAGGAAACAUUCAAGAGUUAAAAAUCAUACUUCUUCUACCUCUCCAAGAGAAAUGUCUCAACUUAGUUCUCCACUCAACAAAGGCAGUUCUCAAAAAUAAAUAAAAUAAAUAAAAUAUAAAAUAAAAUAUA